CAAUGAACCUUUUUUGGUUCUUUCUUGUCAUUACAGAACCUUUUUUUAGCAUGAAAGUUCCUUUGGAGUUGAGGAAAGAAACCUGUGCUUCAUAU